rnacentral:rRNA from 1 species
UACGCGAGGCAGCAGUAGGGAAUCUUCUGCAAUGGGCGAAAGCCUGAUCGGAGCAACCCCGCGUGAGUGAUGAAGGUUUUCGGAUCGUAAAGCUAUGUUGCCAGGGAAGAACGUCUUGGAGAGUAACUGCUCUGAGAGUGACGGUCCCUGCGAAGAAAGCCCCGCCUAACUACGUGCCAGCAGCCGCGGUAAUACGUAGGGGGCAAGCGUUGUCCUCAAUUAUUGGGGGUAAAGCGCGCGCAGCCGGCCGUUCAAGUCCUGUGUUUAAUACCCAAGCUCAACUUCGGGUGGCACUCGAAACUGGAGGGCUUGAGUGCAGAAGAGGAGAGUGGAAUUACACGCGUAGCGGUGAAAUGAAGUAGAGAUGUGGAGGAACACCAGUCGCGAAGGGGACUCUCUGGGCUGUAACUGACGCUGAGGCGCCAAAAAGUGGGGAGAAGACAGCAUUAUAUAACCCCGUAGU